UACGUAGGGUGCGAGCGUUAAUCGGAAUUCCUGGGCGUAAAGCGUGCGCAGGCGGUUCUCCAAGUCCGUUGUGAAAGCCCCGGGCUCAACCUGGGAAUGGCAGUGGAAACUAGGGGACUUGAAUCUGGCAGAGGGGGGUGGAAUUCCACGUGUAGCAGUGAAAUGCGUAGAGAUGUGGAGGAACACCGGUGGCGAAGGCGGCAUCCUGGACCAACACUGACACUGAGGAGCGAAAGCCAGGGGAGCAAACGGG
rnacentral:rRNA from 1 species